AUUAAUCUGAAGUCCCUGAUUUCAUUUUACUAACAUUCCUGUAAGAAAGAGUGUGGAUUAGUGCCAUUAUUCAGGCUAAUAACAAUAAAAGUUGGCUCUUAACUUCAAGGCUAGGUAGGUUAAGACUGGCAUUCUUAUUUUACUUGUUACAGACUGUGCAGCUGAGGUACUUUAGUAACGUGCCUUCUCUAAAAAGAUACUCAAAGGAUAGAGAUAGUAUUUUUAAAAUUUGUGUCCAAAUAGCACUUACUGCAAUGCAUUAUACCUAAAUAUUUACCAAAAGUUAAAGAAAAUGAGAACCAACAAGGAGAAGUGGAAGACAUGAGAAAAGCUAGGAUGCUGCAGAUGGUACAGACUGCUGUCAAAUAUGGGAGGGAUGGGAGA
rnacentral:lncRNA from 1 species